ncrna:unclassified sequences Glutamine riboswitch
AUCGUUCAUCCAAUUACGGACGGAAGUAGGCAGCAGCCGAAGGAACGCGCU